UGAGAUGUUGGGUUAAGUCCCGCAACGAGCGCAACCCCUAUCCCUAGUUGCCAGCGAGUCAUGUCGGGAACUCUAGGGAGACUGCCCCGGAAAUCGGGGAGGAAGGUGGGGAUGACGUCAAGUCCUCAUGGCCUUUAUGUCCAGGGCUACACACGUGCUACAAUGGGCGGUACAAAGGGUCGCGACAGCGCGAGCUCGAGCUAAUCCCAGAAAACCGUCCUCAGUUCGGAUUGCAGUCUGCAACUCGACUGCAUGAAGUUGGAAUCGCUAGUAAUCCCGGAUCAGCAUGCCGGGGUGAAUACGUUCCCGGGCCUUGUACACACCGCCCGUCACAUCACGAAAGUCGGCUGUACCGGAAGCCGGUGGGCUAACCUUCGGGAGGCAACUGUCCAUGGUAUGGUCGGCGAUUGGGGUG
rnacentral:rRNA from 1 species